rnacentral:rRNA from 1 species
UACGUAGGGUGCAAGCGUUGUCCGGAAUUAUUGGGCGUAAAGGGCUCGUAGGCGGUCCAUCGCGUCGGGGAGUGAAAAGCUGGGGCUUAACCCCAGUCCUGCUUCCGAUACGGGUGGACUAGAGGUAGGUAGGGGAGAACGGAAUUCCUGGUGUAGCGGUGAAAUGCGCAGAUAUCAGGAGGAACACCGGUGGCGAAGGCGGAUCUCUGGGCCUUACCUGACGCUGAGGCGCGAAAGCUAGGGGAGCGAACAGG